UACGUAGGGGGCUAGCGUUGUCCGGAAUCAUUGGGCGUAAAGAGCGUGUAGGCGGCCCGGUAAGUCCGCUGUGAAAGUCGGGGGCUCAACCCUCGAAUGCCGGUGGAUACUGUCGGGCUAGAGUGCGGAAGAGGCGAGUGGAAUUCCUGGUGUAGCGGUGAAAUGCGCAGAUAUCAGGAGGAACACCAAUUGCGAAGGCAGCUCGCUGGGACGUAACUGACGCUGAGGUGCGAAAGCGUGGGGAGCAAACAGG
rnacentral:rRNA from 1 species